UGUUUGGUGGCUGAGUAGAAGUGAUAGACUGUAGAUUUAUUAACGGAGUUAAAUCUCCCCAACA
rnacentral:tRNA from 1 species